rnacentral:rRNA from 1 species
CGAGCGGUAUUUGUUCUUCGGGACAGAGAGAGCGGCGUACGGGUGCGGAACACGUGUGCAACCUACCUUUAUCAGGGGGAUAGCCUUUCGAAAGGAAGAUUAAUACCCCAUAAUAUAUUGAAGGCAUCAUGAUAAUAUUGAAAACUCCGGUGGAUAGAGAUGGGCACGCGCAAGAUUAGAUAGUUGGUAGGGUAACGGCCUACCAAGUCAGUGAUCUUUAGGGGGCCUGAGAGGGUGAUCCCCCACACUGGUACUGAGACACGGACCAGACUCCUACGGGAGGCAGCAGUGAGGAAUAUUGGACAAUGGGUGAGAGCCUGAUCCAGCCAUCCCGCGUGAAGGACGACGGCCCUAUGGGUUGUAAACUUCUUUUGUAUAGGGAUAAACCUACUCUCGUGAGAGUAGCUGAAGGUACUAUACGAAUAAGCACCGGCUAACUCCGUGCCAGCAGCCGCGGUAAUACGGAGGGUGCAAGCGUUAUCCGGAUUUAUUGGGUUUAAAGGGUCCGUAGGCGGCGAUGUAAGUCAGUGGUGAAAUCUCAUAGCUUAACUAUGAAACUGCCAUUGAUACUGCAGGUCUUGAGUAAAGUAGAAGUGGCUGGAAUAAGUAGUGUAGCGGUGAAAUGCAUAGAUAUUACUUAGAACACCAAUUGCGAAGGCAGGUCACUAUGUUUUAACUGACGCUGAUGGACGAAAGCGUGGGGAGCGAACAGGAUUAGAUACCCUGGUAGUCCACGCCGUAAACGAUGCUAACUCGUUUUUGGGCUUUCGGGUUCAGAGACUAAGCGAAAGUGAUAAGUUAGCCACCUGGGGAGUACGUUCGCAAGAAUGAAACUCAAAGGAAUUGACGGGGGCCCGCACAAGCGGUGGAUUAUGUGGUUUAAUUCGAUGAUACGCGAGGAACCUUACCAAGGCUUAAAUGGGAAUUGACAGGUUUAGAAAUAGACUUUUCUUCGGACAAUUUUCAAGGUGCUGCAUGGUUGUCGUCAGCUCGUGCCGUGAGGUGUUAGGUUAAGUCCUGCAACGAGCGCAACCCCUGUCACUAGUUGCCAUCAUUCAGUUGGGGACUCUAGUGAGACUGCCUACGCAAGUAGAGAGGAAGGUGGGGAUGACGUCAAAUCAUCACGGCCCUUACGCCUUGGGCCACACACGUAAUACAAUGGCCCGUACAGAGGGCAGCUACCAGGCGAACGGAUGCGAAUCUCGAAAGCCGGUCUCAGUUCGGAUUGGAGUCUGCAACUCGACUCUAUGAAGCUGGAAUCGCUAGUAAUCGCAUAUCAGCCAUGAUGCGGUGAAUACGUUCCCGGGCCUUGUACACACCGCCCGUCAAGCCAUGGAAGUUUGGGGUACCUGAAGUCGGUGACCGUAACAGGAGCUGCCUAGGGUAAAAC